GACAGAACACAGCGAGUGCACGACGGUAAGAAGUGGAUCACAGAACACUGUUACAAACGUCAAUGAAGUAAUACAGGUGCUAUUGCUUAUUUGGAAUAACGAAGGCUAUUUUCCAUUGCUAUUACUGCCAUGUGAUGUCUGAUUUUGGAUCCAUCAUUCAACUCUUAAUGCACGAGUACCCUGAUGAUGCCAUCAAAGUGCGACAGUGGGUUCCUAGUCCUCACUGUGGAAACAUUAGAUUGCAAACUAAAUCCAGUACAUGAUUUACAAACGAGUGUUUGUCUGUCUGUUGGUACAUGCAAACAACCAUUAAAAACACAAGACAUUGUUAUAAGGGAUCAUCCAUUUGAUUACCUCGAGCGCUCUAACAGAAGGCCAACACGGCAAGUAGUGAUGUUCAGGAUUCAGGGAUGUCUGCAAAUG